rnacentral:rRNA from 1 species
UCAGAGGGGGGUAGAAUNCCACGUGUAGCAGUGAAAUGCGUAGAGAUGUGGAGGAAUACCGAUGGCGAAGGCAGCCCCCUGGGAUAAUACUGACGUUCAUGCUNGAAAGCGUGGGUAGCAAACAGGAUUAGAUACCCUGGUAGUCCACGCCCUAAACGAUGUCGAUUAGCUGUUGGGCAACUUGAUUGCUUAGUAGCGUAGCUAACGCGUGAAAUCGACCGCCUGGGGAGUACGGUCGCAAGAUUAAAACUCAAAGGAAUUGACGGGGACCCGCACAAGCGGUGGAUGAUGUGGAUUAAUUCGAUGCAACGCGAAGAACCUUACCUGGUCUUGACAUGUACGGAAGAACUCAGAGACGAGUUUGUGCCUUCGGGAGCCGUAACACAGGUGCUGCAUGGCUGUCGUCAGCUCGUGUCGUGAGAUGUUGGGUUAAGUCCCGCAACGAGCGCAACCCUUGUCAUUAGUUGCCAUCAUUUAGUUGGGCACUCUAAUGAGACUGCCGGUGACAAACCGGAGGAAGGUGGGGAUGACGUCAAGUCCUCAUGGCCCUUAUGACCAGGGCUUCACACGUCAUACAAUGGUCGGUACAGAGGUUAGCCAAGCCGCGAGGUGGAGCCAAUCCCAGAAAACCGAUCGUAGUCCGGAUUGCACUCUGCAACUCGAGUGCAUGAAGUCGGAAUCGCUAGUAAUCGCAGGUCAGCAUACUGCGGUGAAUACGUUCCCGGGUCUUGUAC